rnacentral:misc_RNA from 1 species
UGAUGAUCCCAAGCCUUCUGGCGAUCUAGACAAAACAAGUCCACCGUGGGCUUUGAAAAACGCUUUCCUUGAUAAAAUUUAAGCGUUUUAUAAGAGGAUGCCGGGGAAGGUUUUCCGGUUUAUCCCGGAGGGCUUGUAGCUCAGUUGGUUAGAGCGCGCGCUUGCCCAAAGGGUUGGGA